AAGUAAUGAAGUAAAUAUACAAUUAGUUUCGACCUAAAAUUAGAGAUUCAUCUCCUUACUUA
rnacentral:tRNA from 1 species